rnacentral:misc_RNA from 1 species
UUAACAAACCUGAAGAGCUACUCUCUGUUAAACCAGUCAUGAUUGGUGCUGCAUCUGGUAUUGUUAAAAGACAUGGAGCAACUGCAGCACGUCUUUCCUCUGAAGAACGUUUUCUAUGUGGUGUAAGAUGUGUUCUGUAUUAAUAUGAACCUCGACCCAUCAUCUAGAACUUCAAUGCUACUUUCACUUGGAUUGCUGAGUACUUCUAUAUCACUUUCAUAUUUUUUAUCUAGUACAUUUGCAGAUGGUGUUGAUUCUCUUGAUUCCUCCAAACUUGUUGCUGAACCUAUUAAUAACAAAGGAAA